rnacentral:lncRNA from 1 species
UCAACAUCUCUUACCCUUUUUCCCUAUUUCAAACUCUCUACACUUGCUAGAAACCCACUUCGAAUAACCCUCCCUGUUUAAAUAAACACACACUCACCACAUCUACACCUCGCCGGAACUUCAAGCUUUUCACCGGAACAAACGGAGUCGCCACCACCACUCGUAAUCUCUUCAUCGCUACUUGUUGUCGCUUCUACUCGUCUGGAACCACUUCGACUGUUGUUACGUCGGAACCGACUCGGCUCGCUCGAUAUACAUUUUCCUUGUUUCGUUUGGUGUUGUUUAAAUCUUCUGUCAAUAUAAUUUUUGUUCCUUUCGUUUUGUUAAACCUUCCGCAACUCGCUGGAACUUUCAAGACUUCGUCGGAGAAUGGAGAAGACGACCGGAGACCCGCGGCUCUUCCCUUUCUGUUUCGGGUAAUCGAUUCUCGUUCGUUAUUUUGGAUUUUCUCCAUCUUCUACUCGUGCGUUAUU